rnacentral:rRNA from 1 species
ACUAUAUAAAUAUCUAAUAAAAUUAAAUAAUUCAGUUACCAUAGGGAUAACAGCGUAAUAGUUUUCUAAAGAUCUUAUUUAAAAUAUAGAUUACGACCUCGAUGUUGAAUUAAUAACCUAGUUAAGGCAAAACUUAAAAAAGGAAGUCUGUUCGACUUUUAAAAAAUUACAUGAUUUGAGUUCAGACCGGUGUAAGCCAGGUCGGUUUCUAUCUUCUAAAAAAUUUUUUACAGUACGAAAGGACCUAAAA